UCCGACUCUUAGCGACCCCAUGGACUGCAGCCUACCAGGCUCCUCCAUCCAUGGGAUUUUCCAGGCAAGAGUACUGGAGUGGGGUUGCCAUUGCCUUCUCCAGAUUAGCAUCCCUACUUGAUGUCAAAUUGACAUCCUUUGUCUUGAGCACUAUUAUCUCCUCUCAAAGGUUAUCAGUUCUAAACACCAAGAAAUGGAAAAGCUUUAAUGACAGGACCUCGGAGACAAUCAUUCCUUGUGAAUAACUUCAUUCGAGUUUAUUCUCAGGGCACACACAAUUCCUCCUUUGUACUUCAUGCUUCUGAUGUUCUUGUGCAUGACAGAGCCUCUCAGUUCCCCGAGUGAGAGCCCUAGAGCGCACUCUCCAGGAUGCUGGCCUCUGUAUCCCCUUUACAACUGCCUCCCUCAGCCUCCAGUGACCCCACACUCCAUGUUUCUAGAAGCUGGUCAAUCUCUGACUUUAUUUUUCCUAUCAGUUGACUCAUUACUCAAUUUGUCAAGUGAGCUUUUUGGAAACUCUGGGUCACAAAGGCCUAUUUUCUAGUUGAUCUUGGUAAGAGUUUUCAGAGACUGUAACAGACCACCAAAAAUUGUUGAGGAAUUACCCCGGGAAUUUCUUGAAAGGGAGAUAAUUUCUAUUUGACUUAGAUGGUCCGAAGGCAAACAAGGGGUUAACUGAAUCCUCAAGGUCUUAGAGAAUAUGAUUAAAGAAACCACUCUUUGCUGCGGGCGGUGGGGGGUGGGGGCUGUGGAUAAAGCCCUCCUACUGCCACUUCAAGUCAGAGUAACCAGUUUGCUUUCCAGGCUCGGCUAAGAAGCCUUACAGGAAACAGGAAGUGGACCCUGGCAAUGGAGUCAGGCUGCUUUGCUGAAUGCGUUCAGUCCACGGUGCAGCAGCUUCUUCAAGUGGCCAAUAUUCAUCAAGUUUUUCUAGUAGCCUCGUAUUACAAUAGGCUGCAGAGACUACCAAGGAUGCCCUAAUUGUGAUGUCUGUGUGCCAAGUUCCUCCCUCCAGCCCAAACAUUUCCUGAACUCAACACCAGCUUGUCUAUCUGCCUCUAGAUGUUUCUGUGUGGAUAUACUGCCAACUUCUUCAUCUCGGUUUUUGAGUUGGUAUUGAAUUGCUCCAUUGAUGGAACCCCAAGCAGUGCUUCUAGCCCUUUUUCUCUACUUCUACUAUACCCUGGAUUUCAAGCCAAGCAGAUGGCUCACCCAUCCCUCAAGAGGUCGCCAUUCUUUCCUCUUCUCUUUGUAAGUUAUGUUGUUGACUGAAUGUUCAUAUCCCAUCCUGCUCCACACAAUCAUAAUAAUAGCAAUGGUGUAUGUCUCACUGAUUCCUCCUCUAGGUCUGUGAGGUAAUAUCAUUAUCCUCUUUUACAGACAGUGGUGCAAAGAGAGUAAGAACGUGCCCCAGGAUCAAAACUAGCAAGUGGUUGUGUCAAGAUUCAGAUCUCUGUCUGACCACACACUCUGACCCCCUGACUCAUGAGAACUUCUGCAAGCACUUCAGCUAGAUAUGAUCUUUUCAACCCCUGAACUCCUGCUCAGAGCAUACAUUGGACACUGAAUAGCUCAUACAUGAAUGAAUAGAAUAAUAGCAAUUUUAAUAGCUUUAUAAGAUUAAAGGAGAAGAAAGCAUUAAGGAUAAAUCCAGAUUUCUGGGCUAAUUUGAGAGAAGGAGAGUUUGGUGGGUUGAGGGUUGCAGUGAUCUUGAUAUCGGGAUAUAACCGCACAUCCAAAUGAAGCUACCCCAUGGGGAAGUCAUUGAUGAGUGUCUUGUCUGAGUUGUCAUUUUAGAAAUUGCAGUUUAUUUUAUUUAUGCAUUUUAGACCACACAACGCGGCUUGUGGGAUCUUAGUUCCCUGACCAGAGAUUGAACCCAUGGCCCCUGCAGUGGAAGUGCAAAGUCCUACCCACUGGACUACCAGAGAAUUUCCUGGAAGUUACAGUUUAGUGCAAUUCCUUCUAUCAUUUUUCCUUCCUUCCUUUUAUGUCUUUGUCUUCCCUUCUUUAUUUUCCUUCAGAAAUAUCAUUGAGCUUUUUUUUAGUAUCUGAUAUUAUGAUGGUGCUUAGAGUUGGAUAUGUAAGAUACUACAUCCUGUUCUUACGUUGUUCAUAGCACUCACCCUUUUAAAAAUACUAUUUAUUAUAUAUCUUUCUCAUGAAUACAUUAUCAUCCUAAGUUUGUGCCUCAUAUUUAAUUUGAUUUUGUGUCUUUAGUUCUAAACACAGUGCCUGGCAAAUAGUAAAUGCUCAAAUGAUAUUGAGUAAAAAGUCGUGUGGUGCAGAACAAAGGAAAGGAUAUUUCGGGUUGAGAUCAGUGCUCCUUAAAUUGUAAUGCAUGUAUAAAUCCCCUGGGGAUCUUGUUAAAAGAUUCUGAUUCAGUAGGUCUGGGGUGGGGGCAUGGAGGGGCCCAGAAAUGAGAUUCUGCCUUUGUAGUCAGUUUCUAGGUCCUUGUUAUUCAAAAUGUGGUUUGUGGACUCAUAGCAUUGGCAGACAAGUUGAGAAGCAUGAUGGAGAGGAUGGUAUGUAAGGGAGAAGUAGGAAAUUUAGUGCGGCAGAGAAUAGCUCCUGAAAGGGUAGGCAUGGGGAUUGAUGAGCCCAGAAAGGAGGUUAGGACCAGAGGUCAUGGCUCCUAGGUAUAGUGGAAAGCUAAUGCAGUUGGAGUCAGGCAUGCUGUACUAUGCUGUACUUAGUUGCUCAGUCAUGUCUGACUCUUUGCAACCCCAUGAACUGAAGUCCACCAGGCUUCUUUGUCCAUGAGGAUUCUCCAGGCAAGAGUACUGGAGUGGUUGCCAUGCCCUCCCCAGGGAAUCUUCCCAACUCAGGGAUUGAACCCAGGUCUCCGACAUUGCAGGCAGAUUCUUUACCAGCUGAACUACCCAGGAAGCCCAGAGUCAGACAUACUUGAGUUCUAAUCUCAGUUUGGACAAGUACUGGUGGUACAAUGUCAUUGCUCCUAAUUCUCACUUUCCUUGUUUACACAUGAGAACAGGGAAAGCAAAAUGUCUCCUUCACAAGGCUGCUGUGAGCAUUAACUUGAUGUAAAUUUUCUAGGUCAAUGCCUGGCCCAUGGUGGGCACUCAAUAAAUGGUAGUGAUCAUCAUUACCAGGGUAGGUGACGGACAGUGUGAGUCUGGGCAGAUAGAGAAAAUAUCAUUUCUGCCUAUAGUGAUUUCUAGAGUGGAUGAAUCAUCCAUGUGUUAGGCCUUCUGCCUAUUGCCUCUCCCUUCUCUAUUUUGGUCACACUUCCUUGGUGGCUCAGAUGGUAAACGCAUCUGCCUACAAUGAGGGAGACCGGGGUUCAAUCUCUGGGUCAGGAAGAUCCCCUGGAGAAGGAAAUGGCAAUCCACUCCAGUACUCUUGCCUGGAAAAUCCCAUGAACAGAGGAGCUUGGUAGGCUACAGUCCAUGGGGUCGCAAAGAGUCGGACACGACUGAGAGACUUCACUUCUUUAGAAGCUUCUCUAUUUUGGCUUCAUGACUCAAGGGGAUAAACUGUAAACUGAUUUCAUGGCUUGAGGCCCUAGGUAAGAUUUCUACUCACAGUAGAUCAGGUCAGGAAAUACCCUUAGCAGAAGGCAGGCACCUGGAUUUGCUUUGCUGUCAACCACAUUUCUUUUAGACAACUUCCCUUUUCUCUUCUUCAGUCUCAGGUUAUCCUGCCAAAUUCCAACUAAUCUUGGAAGAGAUGUGUCUGACCAAAUUCUUUCAUGUGGGUCAGACAAUAGAAUUUGUUGGAGCAACAAUUCGGUGACAUUGUCUAUCCACACAUGAUCUUUCUCAUUAGUUGCUGUCCAGCUCUUGUGCUGUGUGGGAAGCAGACCCCUACUUGUCCUCAAACACACCCUUCUCCAACUCCUUUGUCUCUAUUUGUGUUCAGUCCUCAUCAUCCAGAGCACUAGUCUCCAGGACAGUCUCCACUAGAGGAGAGGAAGAAAAUAAUAAAAUUCCUAUUUUAUUUGUGUUUUAUUAAUGACCAUACAGUAUCAGUGUUGUGGUACUGAUGGAUACAAUUUAUAAAUAAACAGGCAAACCCAUAUGGCAACAACUGAUCUUUUAUCUUUGCAAUUGUCUAAUUGCAAUUCCUUCUAACUGGUCUUGGCUCAAUCCCAUCUUGUAUAUUACACUGAGGAUUAUCUCUUUUUUUUUCAAUCUCUUUUUAAAAGUUGAAAUUAUGUUAAUUUACAAUGUGGGUUAGCUUCAGGUGUACAGAAAAGUGAUCUGAAAAAGAAUAUAUAUAUUCUUUUCAAUUUUUUU